ACACGUACACGUCAGCAGAGAUGAUGCGUUCCGUUUUGCGGGCGGUCUGAAAUCCUAUUGGUCAGAGCGCGUGGGAGCACAUUCAAACGCCACGUGCACCGAAGUCCUUGGGACCCGAACCAUCCGGAAGUUUUCCGAUUCCCCGCGAGCCUAUUUAUUUUGCAACCGUUAUACCCCUCCUCGUUCAUUCAUGCAACCGAUACUCCAAUUCAAAAAUCAAGAUUCAUAACUCAAGAAAAAUCCCCACCAGCGUUUCAGGUUUUGCGAAGAUGAAAAUUCGAUCGCCAUUGUCCUUUGCGCUUAUAUCAAUGCUAUUAGUUUUAUACGGAGAAGCCAAAACUAUUGAUCCUUACAAGGUGCUUGGCGUGGAGAAGAACGCGAGUCGAAGAGAGAUUCAGAAAGCUUUUCACAAGCUCUCUCUUAAAUACCAUCCUGACAAGAACAAAAGUAAAGCUGCACAAGAGAAGUUUUCUGAGAUCAACAAUGCAUAUGACAUCUUAUCAGAUGAACAAAAGAGAAAAAAUUAUGAUAUGUAUGGGGAUGAAAAAGGUGCUCCUGGAUUUGAUGCUGGCCACCCUGGGGAUCAUGGUGGAUAUACUUACUUCACUAGCGGUGGACCUGGACAAAGUGAGUUUACAUCUGGACCAGGUGGAUGGCAGCAUAUGGGUGGGCAGGGAAGUUCCCAGACUUUCUCAUUUUCCUUUGGUGGCGCUGGUGGGUCAAACACAUUUGGUAGCCGUGGCCGACCAAGUUCCUUUGGUUUUGAUAUUGAUGAUAUUUUCUCUGGCUUCUUUGGGGGUGGUAUGAAAGAUCAGGGUCAAUUUGGUGGUUUCAGUGGUUCGAGCAGUUCUCAGUCUCAAUCUGGGAGUUCACCUAAGAGCUCCAGAACCUUAAAUUCUGAGGUCUUUAGAAAAGAAAUAGCUGACCAAGGGAUGACUUGGCUUUUGUUAUCUUAUACACCAUCAUUGCAGGGGAAACAAUAUUAUGAAUCUAUCAUAGAGGAGGUGGCCAGUUUAUUGGAAGGAGCUAUAAAGGUUGGAAACAUAAAUUGUGAAAUUGAGUCGUCUUUCUGUAAGGAUCUUGGUAUGCAUCCUGGGAGAGCACCAAGGUUGUUUGUUUAUUCAUACAAAGGAAGUGAGAGGGGUUCUCUGGAAGAAUACAAGGGUGAUUUGAUUGCUAAGAAUGUCAAAACAUUUUGCCAAGAUCAUUUACCAAGGUUUUCAAGAAGGAUUAGCCUAAAUCAUUUUGUCAUGUCUUCUAGUAAUGUCGAAAAAUACCCAAGGGUGAUACUUCUUUCUACGAAAAAAGAUACACCAGUUAUUUGGCGUGUUCUCAGUGGCUUGUAUCAUAAAAGAUACACUUUCUACGAUGCAGAGGUUCAAGAUGUUUCUGAUCCAGCCGUGAAGAAGUUAGGGGUUGAUGCACUUCCAGCUAUAAUUGGGUGGCUAUCCAACGGAGAGAAGCACGUCCUGAAAUCUGGUAUUUCAGUAAAGGAUUUGAAGUCUGCAAUCAAACAACUCAGUAUGAUGCUUGAUAGUUUUGAGAAGAAGAAUAAAAAGGCAGCUUCUUUUCAGACAAGCGAAAAGCAGACAGAUGCCACAGACAGACAAUUACCUUUGUUGACAGUGUCAAACUUUGAUUCUCUUUGUGGGGAUAAAACUCCUGUCUGUAUUAUAGGUGCAUUCCGAUCAUCCAGAGCUAGGGAGAAGCUGGAGUCCCUUUUAUCUAAGGUUUCUCAGAAAUCACUAUCAAGGAGCCUGAAUGUGGCAUCUGGUUCUAGGGAUUCUGUAUCCUAUAUCCUCUUGGAUGCUACCAAGCAACCAUCAUUUAUGAGUGUGUUUGAUAAAUCUGGAUUCAAAUCAUCAGAUAACUUCCUUGUGGCCUACAAACCUCGGAAGGGGAAGUUUGCAGCAUUUACAGGUGACAUGACCAUGGAAGAGGUAGAGAAAUUCAUAAGCUCUGUUCUUAAUGGAGAUGUAAAAUUUACCAGGACAAGGCAGAAUCCUAUACUCAAGUGAACCAGUCAAUGAUUAUGAACUCAGAUUCUGGUUUUGUAUACCAUGUACAGAGUGUAGAGUCAUUGCAUCAUCAGAACUCGUAAUGCCACCUUGGGUGGUGUUCUUCCAUCAUAUUCGUUUUAUGGGUUGAGGAGCAUCUGCAUCAUGAAAAGCCCUUGGAAGUGAAGUUGAUGCUUUUUGGUAUAUUGGUGGUCUUCUGCUUUUUGUGUCAAGAGUCAGAACACAAACAAUUCCAACAUUGCUUCCUCACUUUGGUAACUUUUCCACCUUGUCCUUGCCUCGUGAAGUUGUCUCAGGAUACUAUUCCUAAAGCAAGACACUUCACAGCUUAUCUUAUCAAUGGCUCACCCACCAAACUGACCAUUGUUUCAGAGAUUUACAGCUUUCUAUUGGCUUCCUUCUUGCUUCAUUCACUGCAGAUAUGCAGCCACGCUUUGCAUGCUAGAUGUCGUUUUGAAAUAUCAAAAUGGUUAUUCUUGUUUUGGUACAUUUUAACUUACCUAAAGCAAGACACUUCACAGCUUAUCUCAUCAAUGGCUCACCCACCAAAUUGACCAUUGUUUCAGAAAUCUACAGCUUUCUAUUGGCUUCCUUCUUGCUUCAUUCACGGCAGAUGUGCAGCCACGCUUUGCAUGCUAUAUUUCCCUUUCAAAUAUCAAAAUGGUUAUACUUGUUUUGGUACAUGGCAAAAUGAUUAUUCAACUUUUCAGUUUUUCAAUUGCACCAAACUUGGAUUUUGGAACUGAAUUACGGGAUUGUAAAUUAAUGGAAAAAAAGGAAAUACUAAAAAGAAAACAAAUAUACGAAAUUUGCCUUUUCCGGUGUUAGAAUUUUUUGAUUUGGCACGCAUAAACCCUAUGGAAAUAAAUGAAUAAUGCAGAUCUGAAUAAGAUAUUUCAUAUUUAUUACUUACACUCUUCUAGUUGGGCAGCACAGAUCUCUUCCAUUGGCUGCCCUCCUUCCAAUCACAGCACAUGCUCGUGCUUCUUGCUGCGACAGCGUUAUACAAUGGCCACGUUUUGUGGCCACUCCACCCUCC